UACCAGCACCCCGAGUGGUCGGGACGUUUAUUGGGCCUAAAGCAUCCGUAGCCGGUUCUACAAGUCUUCCGUUAAAUCCACCUGCUCAACAGAUGGGCUGCGGAAGAUACUAUGGAGCUAGGAGGCGGGAGAGGCAAGCGGUACUCGAUGGGUAGGGGUAAAAUCCGUUGAUCCAUUGAAGACCACCAGUGGCGAAGGCGGCUUGCCAGAACGCGCUCGACGGUGAGGGAUGAAAGCUGGGGGAGCAAGCCGG
rnacentral:rRNA from 1 species